GAUGAAGAACGUAGCGAAAUGCGAUAAGUAGUGUGAAUUGCAGAAUUCAGUGAAUCAUCGAAUCUUUGAACGCACAUUGCGCCCCUUGGUAUUCCAUGGGGCAUGCCUGUUCGAGCGUCAUUUGUACAUUCAAGCUUUGCUUGGUGUUGGGUGUUUGUCUCGCCUUUGCGUGUAGACUCGCCUUAAAAUAAUUGGCAGCCGGCGUAUUGAUUUCGGAGCGCAGUACAUCUCGCGCUUUGCACUCAUAACGACAGCGUCCAAAAGUACAUUUUACACUCUUGACCUCGGAUCAGGUAGGGAUACCCGCUGAACUUAAGCAUAUCAUAAGCGGAGGA
rnacentral:misc_RNA from 1 species